rnacentral:miRNA from 1 species
CCUUCAGUUGACUCGUGAUCCG